rnacentral:miRNA from 8 species
GAGCUUACGAAUCAUCAGCCAUU